rnacentral:tRNA from 2 species
UGGCCCGUUGGUCAAGCGGUUAAGACACCGCCCUUUCACGGCGGUAACACGGGUUCGAUUCCCGUACGGGUCAUCCA